GUAAGACUGGGAUAACUCCGGGAAACCGGGGCUAAUACCGGAUGCUUGAUUGAACCGCAUGGUUCAAUUAUAAAAGGUGGCUUUUAGCUACCACUUACAGAUGGACCCGCGGCGCAUUAGCUAGUUGGUGAGGUAACGGCUCACCAAGGCGACGAUGCGUAGCCGACCUGAGAGGGUGAUCGGCCACACUGGGACUGAGACACGGCCCAGACUCCUACGGGAGGCAGCAGUAGGGAAUCUUCCGCAAUGGACGAAAGUCUGACGGAGCAACGCCGCGUGAGUGAUGAAGGUUUUCGGAUCGUAAAACUCUGUUGUUAGGGAAGAACAAGUACCGUUCGAAUAGGGCGGUACCUUGACGGUACCUAACCAGAAAGCCACGGCUAACUACGUGCCAGCACCCGCGGUAAUACGUAGGUGGCAAGCGUUGUCC
rnacentral:rRNA from 1 species